GCCGGGCAUGGUGGCACUCGCUUGAGUCCCAGCUAUCUGGAAAGCUGAAGCAGGAGGAUUGCUUGAGUCCAGGAAUUCUGGGCUGUAGUGUUAUGUGGAUGGGAUAUCUGUACUAAGUUCUGCAUCAAUAGGGUGACGGCCCAGAAGCCCAGAAGCAGCAGGUUUCCUGAGGAGGGGAGAACCAGGUUGAAACGGAGCAGAGCAAAACUCCCUUGCUGGUAAAUAAUAGUGGGAUUGCACCUGUGAAUAGCCACCACACCCCAGCCUGGGCAACAGGCAACAU
rnacentral:SRP_RNA from 1 species